CCCGCUCAGAAACUUAAAUGAAUUGACGGGGGCCCGCACAAGCGGUGGAGCAUGUGGUUUAAUUCGAUGAUACGCGAGGAACCUUACCCGGGCUUGAAAUGCAUCUGACCGGCCUUGAAAGAGGCACUCCCUUCGGGGCAGAUGUGUAGGUGCUGCAUGGUUGUCGUCAGCUCGUGCCGUGAGGUGUCGGCUUAAGUGCCAUAACGAGCGCAACCCUCAUCAUUAGUUACCAUCAGGUAAGGCUGGGGACUCUAAUGAGACUGCCAUCGUAAGAUGUGAGGAAGGUGGGGAUGACGUCAAAUCAGCACGGCCCUUACGUCCGGGGCGACACACGUGUUACAAUGGGUGGUACAAAGGGCAGCUACCUGGCGACAGGAUGCUAAUCUCGAAAACCGCUCUCAGUUCGGAUCGGAGUCUGCAACUCGACUCCGUGAAGCUGGAUUCGCUAGUAAUCGCGCAUCAGCCACGGCGCGGUGAAUACGUUCCCGGGCCUU
rnacentral:rRNA from 1 species